rnacentral:rRNA from 1 species
CGAACGGGUGAGUAAUGCGUGACCGACCUGCCCCAUGCUCCGGAAUAGCUCCUGGAAACGGGUGGUAAUGCCGGAUGUUCCACAUGAUCGCAUGUGAUUGUGGGAAAGAUUUCAUCGGCGUGGGAUGGGGUCGCGUCCUAUCAGCUUGUUGGUGAGGUAACGGCUUACCAAGGCUUCGACGGGUAGCCGGCCUGAGAGGGCGACCGGCCACAUUGGGACUGAGACACGGCCCAG